UUGUUUUUUUCCUUCUUCUCCCCAAAGCCCCUGAGUACAUAGUUGUAUAUUCUAGUUGUGAGUUCCUUUGGUUGUGCCAUGUGUGAUGCCGCCUCAGCAUGGCUUGAUGAGCAGUGCCAUGUCCAUGCCCAAGAUCCAAAUCGGUGACACCCUGGGCCACCAAAGCUGAGUGCGCCCCAUCCUAAAUUCUAAGAAGGGAAAUUAUGAUGUGUCAUUGCCAACACUUCAUUUUACAUCAAGUUUAUAUCUAUCAGGGGCCUCUUAUACCAUCAACGUUGUGUGUAGCAGAAUUGUGUCCAAAUUAUAGAAAUUAGCACAGAGUGUUGCUUUCUAAAAUGAUUAUAGGUUUAUAGUAGAAUUUGCAUGGUAGGACAAGUUUCUCUGUCCUUGGACCUUCGUUGUCUUACUUUAUGCUUUCUUCCGAUGGAGAUGAGAUAUGAGAACUUUAAGUGUGAUGUAGAAUCAAAUUUAGGCUGCGAGAAGUCAUGUGUAUUGGCAAGAGGGAGCUUGUCUGUGGUCACCAUGGAAACUGAAGUAGGUACCCUGGGCCAGCAGUGGUGGAAAAGGAAGCAGGGAAGGAAGGCAAAGCAGGACAGGAGCCUACAGACUCACAUGAGCAGAGCUUGGUACAAAAUGGGGAACCAUAAAAACAUUUGUGACACUUCUGUGCUCCAAGUGUGUUCCAGAUUUGCCUUGAGUGAGGCUGGGCUCUUUCUGAUAAAGGACUGUGCCUCCACCUCACCAUGCAAGGCAGCAGGUUCCACGUGCUUUUAUGACAUGUUGGUAAAGGCCAUGAUACAUGGGGAUGUUGAGCCCUUGGUCAGGAAUGCAUAAUAAUAAUGAAAAUUAUGCACUAUCAUUUAUUGACCAUCUAGUAUGUGCUGAAACACCAUUCUAAGUAUGCAGCUUGACCAAAGUCUUAAAAUCAGGAUAGUGGUGCCCAGACCACAACUCGGGUCACAGGGCUGCCAUUUUAGAGCUCUUUUCACUGUACUAUACUGCCCAAGGUUUGUAAUUUAGUAGGGAGGUGUAUAUGCACAUGAAGGUGGAAAAGUUAAGACGCCAAAGAAUGAAUCUUAGAUGGUAGAUUUUUAGGCACGUGAUAAGAGUGGGAUUUUGUCUAGCUUUCUGAAAAUAGUGCCUGACCAGGUCAAGGAUCUGCUGUAGAAUGUGGUUGUUGGGAAGGUUCAAGAUAACAAAUGGUAAAGAACCUGACACAGUGACUGGCACACAGUGGUGAUUAAUAAACAAAAUAUAUGAGUUCUAGAGGGCCUCUCACACUGCGUAUUUGAAGCCCUCCUUCCCUACUGCCCCACCUCAUGAGAGCCACUAAACAUAGUACGUAGCAAUUUGAUCGACUUCAGAGAGCUCAUCUUCCUUGGGAAUGCCUGGUGUGCCCUGGGUUUGGAGACCCAUGGGGCUGGUUCUGCCAGGCCCAAAGGGUUCACCAGGUAGGGCCUGAACAAACUUGCUCAGUCCUAAGGUUCCAUUUUUCACUAGUGCUGUUUCUACCCAGGGCUGGGGCGGGAAGCUUGCUUCCAGAUGCAGCUUGUCAAUCCCAGACCACAGAUGGGGAGGGUUUUCUGACUCCUGGCCUUGUGCAGGGACCCAUUCUAGCUGACUGCAUUGGACUCUCCUUUCUGUCCAGGCUUAAAAACCUCUGCCCUUAAUGUAUCUAAGACUCACAUCCUGAGGGCUUCAUGGCUUUGACUCCCACCUACUGCGCUAUCUAAAUUCUCCUUCUUUCCGGCUCCUGGGAAUUUCCCUUUCUUGUUUGCAUGAGUAUUAAAGAGAAACCUUGUUAAGCUUUGAGCAUUCAUGUCAUUUGUUCAAUGACCCCAGGCCCACAGGAAGCUUAGGCAACCAAUUUUGGACCUGUUUGAAACCAACUUCCCUAUAUCAGAAACAGGAAAAGAAAGAAGUUACACUCUGCCUCAUGAGCCAACCGGAGAACUGAGCUCAGCAUCUUGCCUUAUUGGUGCACAUUCUAUUCACAUAAUGAAGUUCUUUCAUUUUCUGCUUGGAGAGACCUGCUGACCUCACACCUGAAUGAGGCGAUGUCGUCCUCCCUUCCAGUCUCUCAGAACCCAGCCACCAUCUUGUGAGGAAGCUUCCCACGUGGAGAGGGCCUAAGGACUUCUGACAGCAGCCAAAACCGACUUACCAGCUCUGUGAGCGAACCACCUUGGAAGUCUGUCCUCCAGACCAAGUGAAGCCUUCAGAUGACUGUAGUCACACCUAACAUCUGACUAUGACCUCACGAGGGACCCCUAACCAGAACCACUCGGCUAAACUACUGCCGGAUUCACAACCCACAGAAACCAUGAAAGACAUAAAUGGUCAUUGCCAUCUUAACCCGCUAAGUUUUGCAGUGAUUUUUUUUAUGCAGCUUUAGAGAACAAAGGAGAGGAGUGCAACAGAAAGGGGCCAUCCCAGAACCCUCAAAGGUGUGGGGCCUAGGACAGGGCCUCUUUUGCCUGGAUUUAGGGCCGUACUGAGGAAAGGAUAUGGAUUUUAUUUCAGUAGCUGGGUAUUUCCUAGGGAGGGAUGAGCUUAUUUAUACAAAAGAGGAACUUGCAGGACUGAGCAGGUGUUGGAGAUCAGGAAAUUUUUUUAUAAAAGCUGUAACAAAGCAGCCCUUUAUCUGGAGUAUACAAAGAAAUGAAAAUCUAAUGAGACCAUUUAUUUGCUUGAUUGUGUAAACACACAAAAAUGUACACAUCUUGGAAUAGUCACAGCGGAAGGAGAUCUGCUUAAGCCAGUGAUGCCGUCUGUCACUUUUCAAAAAUGCCUGUGAAACUUCUCUUUCGGAAUUGCCCACAAAGCUGGAUUAUGAGCUUCCCAUGAAACCAGACUCAUCACUCAAGCUGCGACUUGGUUUGUGACCCCAGACAGCAUUUCCCAGCUUGAUCACCCAACCUACUCAGCAGACUUUGCUCUGAAUGACUUAGAACUGUUUCCAAAACUCACACCCGCCCUUGGAGGAUACAUGCUGUCAGACUUAUCUUUCUGCCACACCUCGGAUCAUGCGCUUCAGUGCCUCUCGGCUGCAUAGAGAAUUAAGCUCCAACAUGUCAGCUAGAUUUUCAGAACUUUAUACAACAUGCAGCCCCCACCUAGCUUUGCAGUUCUAUCAUCCCAGAACACACGAUGCCCUCUCUACUUACUGAUGAUAGGUACCAUUUACUGAGCCCUUAUUAUGUGCCCCACACUGUGCUAAGAGCUUAAUAUAAUCUCUCAUUUUGUCCUUAUAUGACUUUGUAAGAUAAAUGUUAUCUCUAUAGUAUAAAUAAUAAUAAAACAGGGGUCACUAACACUUUGUACAGCAGUUACAAUGUGCUAAACCACCGUCCAAUAGAAAUAUGAGCCAUAUUUGUCAUUUUAAUUUUCUAAUUGCCACACUAAAAAAGUAAAAACUAGGUGAAAUUGAUUUUAAUAAAGUAUUUUAUCAAUGAG
rnacentral:lncRNA from 1 species